rnacentral:rRNA from 1 species
AUACGGAGGGUGCAAGCGUUAAUCGGAAUUACUGGGCGUAAAGCGCACGCAGGCGGUCAAUUAAGUCAGAUGUGAAAGCCCCGAGCUUGACUUGGGAAUUGCAUCUGAAACUGGUUGGCUAGAGUCUUGUAGAGGGGGGUAGAAUUCCACGUGUAGCGGUGAAAUGCGUAGAGAUGUGGAGGAAUACCGGUGGCGAAGGCGGCCCCCUGGACAAAGACUGACGCUCAGGUGCGAAAGCGUGGGGAGCAAACAGGAUUAGAUACCCUGGUAGUCCACGCUGUAAACGAUGUCGAUUUAGAGGUUGUGGGCUUGAACCGGGGCUUCUGGAGCUAACGCGUUAAAUCGACCGCCUGGGGAGUACGGCCGCAAGGUUAAAACUCAAAUGAAUUGACGGGG